UGGGGAAUAUUGCGCAAUGGGCGAAAGCCUGACGCAGCGACGCCGCGUGAGGGAUGACGGCCUUCGGGUUGUAAACCUCUUUCAGUAGGGACGAAGCGCAAGUGACGGUACCUACAGAAGAAGCACCGGCCAACUACGUGCCAGCAGCCGCGGUAAUACGUAGGGUGCAAGCGUUGUCCGGAAUUAUUGGGCGUAAAGAGCUCGUAGGCGGUCUGUCACGUCGGCUGUGAAAACCCGAGGCUCAACCUCGGGCCUGCAGUCGAUACGGGCAAACUAGAGUACUGCAGGGGAGACUGGAAUUCCUGGUGUAGCGGUGAAAUGCGCAGAUAUCAGGAGGAACACCGGUGGCGAAGGCGGGUCUCUGGGCAGUAACUGACGCUGAGGAGCGAAAGCGUGGGGAGCGAACAGG
rnacentral:rRNA from 1 species